CUUCUCUUUCUUUGGCUGUCAUCUCUUCAAUUCUCCAACCUCUUCCUUUUCUUCCUCUUCUUCUCUCUCUAAGAAUUGUUUACAAUAAAUUAGGCGAUCAUCACUCAGAUACCGCCUGAAAACCACUGUUUUUGCUCUCUUGAAAGUGGUUUUCCGUUGGCAUUCAACCUGGAAGUCCUAAUAUUUCAUUCUUAAGCUUUGACAAAUAAAAAAAACACAGAUCAGUCUUGAAAAGGGAGACAUGUUUCAGCCAAAUAUGUUUGAAAAUCUUCAUCAUCAUCUUGUUGAUAUGAGACAUACAAACACAGAAAAUAACCUUGAUAUGCUUAGAGAUGAUGAUCACGAUAGCAAAUCAGGGACAGAUAUCAUGGAAGCUCCUUCAGGCAACGAUCAGGAUUCGAAUCAACAUCCCAACAAAAAGAAACGUUACCAUCGCCAUACUCAACAUCAAAUCCAAGAAAUGGAAGCGUUUUUUAAAGAGUGCCCUCAUCCAGAUGAUAAGCAAAGAAAGGAACUUGGCAGAAGACUAUCCUUGGAGCCAUUGCAAAUAAAAUUUUGGUUCCAGAAUAAACGAACUCAAAUGAAGGCUCAACACGAACGCUAUGACAACACACAACUGAGGAGUGAAAAUGAAAAACUCCGAGCAGAGAACAUACGAUUCAAGGAAGCUCUCAGCAAUGCUGCUUGUCCAAACUGUGGUGGACCAGCUGCUGUUGGGGAAAUGUCUUUUGAUGAACAACAUUUAAGGAUUGAAAAUGUUCGUCUACGAGAGGAAAUUGACAGGAUAUCCGGAAUUGCUGCCAAGUACGUUGGCAAGCCAACACUCACUUACCCUGAUGUUUCAUCUCACGGACCGUCUCGUUCCCUUAACUCACAACAAGGAAUGGUGGGAGAGAUGUUUGGAGCAAGUGACCUUCUACGGUCCAUGGUUGGCCCUACUGAGACUGAGAAACCUAUUAUUGUUGAGCUUGCUGUUACAGCCAUGGAGGAACUAAUCAGAAUGGCUCAGGUUGGUGAACCCGUGUGGGUUCCAACCUCAGAUAAUUCAUCUCAUGAAACCUUGAGUGAAGACGAGUAUCUACGGUCAUUUCCUAGAGGCAUUGGACCGAAACCAAUGGGACUGAAAUCCGAAGCUUCAAGGGAAUCCAAGGUUGUCAUCAUGAAUCAUAGGACUCUUGUGGAAAUUCUAAUGGAUGUGAAUCAAUGGUCAAAUGUCUUUUGUGGCAUUGUUUCCAGAGCAAUGACUCUAGAAGUACUUUCAACUGGGGUGGCUGGCAAUUACAAUGGAGCUAUGCAAGUGAUGACAGCUGAGUACCAAGUUCCUUCACCACUCGUCCCAACACGAGAGAACUAUUUCGUUCGGUAUUGUAAACAACAAGAUGAUGGAACGUGGGUUGUGGUUGAUGUAUCCUUGGAUAAUUUGCGAUCAUCAUUGAUAUCAAGAUGUAGAAGAAGGCCUUCGGGUUGUUUGAUUCAAGAGCUGCCCAAUGGGUACUCAAAGGUGACAUGGGUUGAACAUAUUGAAGUUGAUGACGGGCCCGUUCAUGAUAUUUACAAGGUGCUAGUAAGCUCUGGUUUAGCAUUUGGUGCAAAAAGAUGGGUAGCAACUUUAGAGAGGCAAUGUGAAAGAUUUGCAAGUGCAAUGGCUAGCAAUAUUCCAGCAGGAGAUGUAGGAGUUAUAACCACUCCUGAAGGGAGAAAGAGUAUGAUGAAGUUAGCUGAGAGAAUGGUUUUGAGCUUCUGUAGCGGGGUUGGUGCUUCAACUGCCCACACAUGGACGGCUUUAUCUGGUAGUGGACCAGAUGAUGUGCGGGUAAUGACCAGAAAGAGUAUGGAUGAUCCAGGCAGACCUCCUGGUAUCGUGCUAAGUGCGGCAACUUCAUUUUGGUUACCAAUUCCACCAAAACAGGUUUUCGAAUUUCUUCGCGAUGAGAACUCUAGGAGUGAGUGGGACAUUCUUUCAAAUUGUGGACUGGUUCAAGAAAUGGCGCACAUUGCCAAUGGUCGUGAUCCAGGAAAUUGUGUUUCCCUUUUGCGAGUUAAUAGCGCAAAUUCAAGCCAGAGCAACAUGCUUAUACUACAAGAGAGUUCAAGUGAUCCUACAGGAUCUUAUGUUAUAUACGCACCUGUAGAUAUUGCAUCUAUGAAUGUUGUAUUAAGUGGGGGUGAUCCAGAUUAUGUUGCGUUGCUACCAUCUGGUUUUGCCAUACUUCCUGAUGGACCUGGACAGUAUGAAGGUGGAGUUCUUGAGGUUGGAACUGGCGGAUCACUAAUAACGGUUGCAUUCCAAAUUUUAGUUGAUUCAGUUCCCACUGCCAAAAUAUCACUAGGAUCAGUAGCAACAGUUAAUACCCUAAUUAAGUGCACAGUUGAAAGGAUCAAAUGUGCAGUAGCUUCUAACAAUCCAUGAGGAAUACUAUGGGCAAUUUAAAUGGACAAACUCUUCAUUCUCGCUGAUGAGCAGAAAGAGGUUAUCAAUAGAAAGUGCCGUGAAUGGAAGAGGCGAAAAGAUCUAUGCAGGCGAUGAUUUCUCUUUAUCUUUUUUAACAGAUUGAAGAAGUCAAGAACGCACCUUGGAUGAAUCUAGGCAUCUGAGGAUGGUGUCUGAUGCAACAUCAGGAAACCAUUUUCACUGUUUCAUGGUUUAUAGGUUCGGGUAUUGACUUUGACCAUCUUGAAGAUUUUAGAGUAAACAUCGAUCCUGUCUAGUGAAUUCUAGUUUAGACUUUCAAAUACUUGGUUUUGCUAUAAGAUUUCGUUAGGGAUUUUCAGGUUUAUGCGUUUUGAACAAAACUUAAAUUGGUAGCCUGCUUGAAGCUACUGGCAACAACUCUUUUUGCC